AGCAGCCCCCGCCCACACGCUGGCUGAUGCACGUGUCCGGUGCCCGCACAAUGAUGGUUUUUUAGCCAACAAGGUGCUUCGCUGUUAAGUGGUGGAGGCUCAGGGAACAGGAGCUGCACGAACGCACAGGCCCAGCGUCCCCAGGCCACCUCUGCUGAGAUUACACAGCGUGUUGCCAUCGUGAUUCGUACAUUAGCUAUUGUGAUGUAUAAUUUUAGCCUGAGAAAAAAGU
rnacentral:lncRNA from 1 species